UGUUAUGGGCGGGCCGGGCGGGAGGGCGCAAGCCCUGCCGGUGCCGACUACCGGUCGACCAACCCGCUCGGCUCCGCCCACCCUC
rfam:Thauera chlorobenzoica strain 3CB1, complete genome.